rnacentral:tRNA from 1 species
GCCCCCGUAGCUCAGCUGGAUAGAGCACCCGCAUCAGAGUGGGAGGUCGCGGGUUCGAGUCCCGCCGGGGGCC